UACGUAGGGUGCAAGCGUUGUCCGGAAUUAUUGGGCGUAAAGAGCUCGUAGGCGGCUGUUCAAGUCGAACGUGAAAACUCGGAGCUCAACUCCGAGCCUGCGUUCGAGACUGGAUGGCUAGAGUCUGGUAGGGGGAUCUGGAAUUCACGGUGUAGCAGUGAAAUGCGUAGAGAUCGUGAGGAAGACCAGUGGCGAAGGCGGGUCUCUGGACAGUUCCUGACACUGAGGCACGAAGGCCAGGGGAGCAAACGGG
rnacentral:rRNA from 1 species